rnacentral:tRNA from 1 species
GGGGUUGUGGCUCAGUGGUAGAGUGAUUGCCUUGAAUGCGUGAGGCCCUGGGUUCGAUCCUCAGCACCA